AAGAUUGCGUUGAUGGAAAAGAGUAUCUGUCAUUCUCCAUAAAAAGCGAACCCGGGACGGUGGAAGCCGGGAUAUGGAUUUACAGGGAAGGGCGUUUCCGGAGCAUGUUGCUUUGAAAAGAGGCCGUUUUGUAAACGGCAAUUAGGGUGGAACCGCGGGUAUACUCUCGUCCCUAUG
rnacentral:ncRNA from 1 species